rnacentral:rRNA from 1 species
GUCUAUGGCCAUGCCACCUUGAACAUCCCUAAUCUUGUCUGACUUGGGAAGCUAAGCAGAGUUGGUCCUAGUUAGUACUUGGAUGGGAGACAACACUGUAAUUAGGCCAUUUAGCAA